rnacentral:rRNA from 1 species
UACAGGGGGUGCAAACGUUGCUCGGAAUUAUUGGGCGUAAAGCGCGCGUAGGCGGCUACCUAAGUCGGAUGUGAAAGCCCCUGGCUUAACCGGGGAAGUGCACCCGAAACUGGGUAGCUAGAGUGCAAAAGAGGGUCGCGGAAUUCCCGGUGUAGAGGUGAAAUUCGUAGAUAUCGGGAGGAACACCGGUGGCGAAGGCGGCGACCUGGGUUGACACUGACGCUGAGGCGCGAAAAGCGUGGGGGAGCAAACAGG